CUGGGGUAACUUGAGAACAGAAGAGGAGAGCGGAAUUCCACGUGUAGCGGUGAAAUGGGUAGAUAUGUGGAGGAACACCAGUGGAGAAGGUGGCUAUAUGGUAUGUAUCUGACGAUGAGGCGCGAAAGCAUGGGUAGCGAACAGGAUUAGAUACCCUGGUAGUACAUGCCGUAAACGUUGAGUGCUAGGUGUUAGGGGGUCCAACCCUUAGUGCUGCAGUUAUCGCAAUAAGCACUCCGCCUGGGGAGUACGGCCGCAAGGCUGAAACUCAAAGGAAUUGACGGGGGCCUGCACAAGCGGUGGAGCAUGUGGUUUAAUUCGACGCAACGCGAAGAACCUUACCAGGUCUUGACAUCUUCGGACAGCCCAAGAGAUUGGGUCUUCCCUUCGGGGACCGAAUGACAGGUGGUGCAUGGUUGUCGUCAGCUCGUGUCGUGAGAUGUUGGGUUAAGUCCCGUAACGAGCGCAACCCCUGAUCUUAGUUGCCAGCAUUCAGUUGGGCACUCUAGGAUGACUGCCGGUGACAAACCGGAGGAAGGCGGGGAUGACGUCAAAUCAUCAUGCCCCUUAUGACCUGGGCUACACACGUGCUACAAUGGAUGGUACAAAGGGAAGCCAAACCGCGAGGUCGAGCUAAUCCCAUAAAGCCAUUCUCAGUUCGGAUUGUAGGCUGCAACUCGCCUGCAUGAAGCCGGAAUCGCUAGUAAUCGCGGAUCAGAAUGCCGC
rnacentral:rRNA from 1 species